rnacentral:tRNA from 2 species
AGGCUUUAUAGUCAUAUAAUAUGACAUUAGACUGCAAUUCUAAAGGAGUAAUUUUUUACUAAAGCUUA